GAAUUGUUCGCAAUGGGCGCAAGCCUGACGACGCAACGCCGCGUGGAGGAUGAAGAUCUUCGGGUCGUAAACUCCUGUCGCAUGGGACGAAUGGGUGGUGGGUGAACAGCCUGCCGCCGUGACGGUACCGCGAAAGGCAACCGCGGCUACCUGCGUGCCAGCAGCCGCGGUAAUACGGGGGGGGUAAGCGUUGUUCGGAAUUACUGGGCGUAAAGGGCUCGUAGGCGGCCAACUAAGUCAGACGUGAAAUCCCUCAGCUUAACUGGGGAACUGCGUCUGAUACUGGAUGGCUUGGAUCCGGGAGAGGGAUGCGGAAUUCCAGGUGUAGCGGUGAAAUGCGUAGAUAUCUGGAGGAACACCGGUGGCGAAGGCGGCAUCCUGGACCGGUAUUGACGCUGAGGAGCGAAAGCCAGGGGAGCAAACGGG
rnacentral:rRNA from 1 species